GAUGAACGCUAGCUACAGGCUUAACACAUGCAAGUCGAGGGGAAACGAUAGAGAAAGCUUGCUUUUUCUAGGCGUCGACCGGCGCACGGGUGAGUAACGCGUAUCCAACCUGCCCACCACUUGGGGAUAACCUUGCGAAAGUAAGACUAAUACCCAAUGACGUCUCUAGAAGACAUCUGAAAGAGAUUAAAGAUUUAUCGGUGAUGGAUGGGGAUGCGUCUGAUUAGCUUGUUGGCGGGGUAACGGCCCACCAAGGCGACGAUCAGUAGGGGUUCUGAGAGGAAGGUCCCCCCACAUUGGAACUGAGACACGGUCCAAACUCCUACGGGAGGCAGCAGCGAGGAAUAUUGGUCAAUGGGACGAGAGUCUGAACCAGCCAAGUAGCGUGCAGGAUGACGGCCCUAUGGGUUGUAAACUGCUUUUAUAAGGGAAUAAAGUGAGUCUCGUGAGACUUUUUGCAUGUACCUUAUGAAUAAGGACCGGCUAAUUCCGUGCCAGCAGCCGC
rnacentral:rRNA from 1 species